AGCUCAGUGGUAGAGUGCAUGUUCAUUAUGCAUGAAGCCCUGGGUUCAAUCCCAG
rnacentral:tRNA from 1 species